UUGCGAAGCGCGUGGCGCAGCACGAUUGUACGGAACUUCACGCCCUUCAGCCGCGCAGUGCGUAUGUAUUGCGCGGUCAUCACCUCGGCCAUGCUGGCCCGCGUCAUCCUCGCGAUAUAGCCCAUGCCGUAAAGCGCGAUGGUCGCGACAGGCAGGGUGAAGUUCUCGAAGGUGAUCCCG
rnacentral:ncRNA from 1 species